UACAAGCUGAUAUGAUCCAUGCUCUGAAGAUCUCGGAUCGAGCUGAUUGCUGUUGGUGUGGUUGCUUUUGAAGACUGACAUUAAAAUGUCCUUGCAUUAUAUUCUACACUACAAUAUACUGGAAGAUUUCACAGUCUGGUCCCUACAGCUCUGCCAACUCUAGCAGUGACACCCCAGUUCAACAAGCAAAUUUUCAACUGAACCCAACUAUCAGUGGACUACUCAAUGCAGUGCAAGCAUACAUGGCUGCAGCACUGGCUCCUUCCACCAGAUUCUCUUAUUCCAUAGGCUGCUGAGGGGAGCACGGCGGGAAACAGCACAGCCGCGAAGAGGGCCAGCAUCACCACAGUCACUACCAGAGUGGCCAACAUCAGCACCACGACUAGUCCUAACCAGGGGGAGAAGUGGAGCUGGAGUAGUGGGCAGCAGUGUGGAGUAGUGGUUAGGGCUCUGGACUCUUGACCGGUGGGUUGUGGGUUCAAUCCCCAGUGGGGGACACUGCUGUUGUACCCUUGAGCAAGGUACUUUACCUAGAUUGCUCCAGUAAAAACCCAACUGUAUAAAUGGGUAAUUGUAUGUAAAAAUAAUGUGAUAUCUGUAUAAUGUGAAAUAAUGUGAUACCUUGUAACAAUUGUAAGUCGCCCUGGAUAAGGGCGUCUGCUAAGAAAUAAAUAAUAAUAAUAAUAAUAAUAAUAAUACCCUCUUGGCCGUGGGCUCCCCUCCGGGCUUCACCUCCCGAGGGUCCACCCGCACCGCAUUGGGACUGCCUGUCCCGCACCGCCUAGGGCUGCCUGUCCCACACCGCCUAGGGCUGCCUGGCCUGCAAUGAUCAGUACAUUUUUAAUUGAUCAUCUUAAAAGCUGGGUUGGCCAGACUGUAACUGUUCUAAGUGGUUUAAGUCGUAUCUAAGUAACAGACAAUACUUUGUUUCUUUAGGGGAGUCUGUAUCAGGAUUAUCUAGUAUUACAUGUGGUGUCCCCCAGGGCUCUAUUCUUAGUCACACAUUAUUUUCUUUAUAUAUGCAACCACUGUCUGUUGAGAUCAUUCCUAAAUACAGAGUACAUUUUCACUGUUAUGCUGAUGACACACAACUGGGUUGGGUUUCUAUGACACCUGGUAACACCACUGCUAUUUCAGCCUUACUAGAGUGUCUUGCUGAUAUCAAAAGUUGCAUGUCUCAGAAUGUUUUGCAAGGAAUUGAAAUUCCUUAAAAAAAUAGAUUUGGGCAACCUGACCUCUAAUAUAAAAUCUGAUGUGAGAAAUGGUGGGAUUAUAUUUGAUUCUGAUUUUAGUGUUGAGGCUCAUAUUUGAAAAAUUACAAAAAAGUUUAUUUUUUUAUUUUUUUUAUCAUCUAUGAAACAUUGUUAAAGUUAGGUCUUUUCUUUCUUUGUUUGAUGCUGAGAAGUUAAUUCAUGCUUUUGUUUAGUCUAGAACUGACUAUUGUAAUGCAUUAUUUGUUGUGGCUCUGGGUCAUGCCUCAUUAUGUUUGUAGCUUGUUCUGAAUGCAGCUGCUAGCUGUUCUCACUAAAGCAAAGGAAAUGGCUUACAUACCUCCUGUAUUGGCCUCACUGCACUGGCUUCAAGUGCUUUUAUAUAUAUUUUUAAAUCUUACUAUUGACGUACUGUAUAAAGCACUGAAUGGCUUGGGACUGGAUUACCUAAGGGAGAUCCUAUCCCCAUAUAAACCUCUGUGUACUUUAAUGUCAAACUAAAGUGCAUUUAGUUAUAAUGCCCCCAGAUUGUGGAACUCACACCCCUGUUCUAUUAGAGAUGCUGUGUCGAUCAAUAUUAAAGAUUAAAGAUUAAAGACGUAUUUUUAUUAUUUAGCCUUUUUAACCUGACGUACAUACAUAAUUCACCGAUCGCAAAGCCGACUUAAUCGGCCAAUCAGAGAGCUCAUAACCCAUCGCGUGCUCAGCUAUGCUUAGUUACGGUAUCCAACCACCAUAACCUUUGACAAACAAAUGCCACAUUGACAUAGUUUCACAAUGUUACGGUAUACGUUUUUUUUAGUUAGAAAAUGGUGAAAAGGUGUGUCUGGGGACUUGCAACAGCCACACAAGGUACCCAGAACGUUUGGAAGGGGGAACAUAUUUUAUUCCUUUCCCAAAGCAAACUUCCACGUCGUUCUGGUUCUUUUAGACACUAUGAACAAACAGUACAUUUGUCUUUUAGAAUAAAAAUGCAGUUACAAAACAUUUUUCAAACAGUCUGUCACACUCACUUUAUGACUGUAGAUUAGGAUUAAUUUUUGUUAGAAUACUAAAUAAAUCUGCUGUUGCCAACAACUAUAGAAAUAUAACUGACAAUGGCAAUACUAUUUCUUAUCAUUCAGAAAACACUCCAACCAAGUACAUUCUUUCUAUGUUUUCUAUCAAGUUGACCAAAAAUGAGUUUACGGCCCCAGACCUGUGGUAACUCUGACUGUCCCUUUGUGUGUUAUUAUUUUGUGUGCGUGUGUCUAUAUAUAUAUAUAUAUAUAUAUAUAUAUAUAUAUAAAUAUACACACAUUUUCCAUGUUACAGAUAUUUGUUAAUCUAAAACCCAUUACGUUUUAGACACAUUUUAAAACACUGCUAUGAUAUUGCUAGUUAUUUGAUGUAAAGUUAUUAGUGCUAUGUAAUAACUUCAGGAAUGCUCUUGCCUCAUUUGCCAGGCUCUCUUAGAAGUGUCCAUUUAUUCUUUUUAAUUAUUUUCACAGCGGUUUGAUUUCAAACUACCAAUUAACUCCACCCCCGUGUAUGACUUGCCUGAGUACUGCUUUGCAUGGGAUUGUUUUAUUUUUGUUUUUAGCACUUUGUUGAUGGGGAAAUGUACACAGCAGUUCCAUCAGAUGCUAGUGGCACUUCAUCAAGACCCAGCAGGCCCCCUCCCAAGAAAAGGUUAUUAAGGGAAGAGUACAUUAUACUUCUAUUGUUUUAUUAUGUCAUUCAUAAAAAUAUACAUCAUGUAAGUUAACAUCGCUCCCUUAUUACUUUUACAUACUGCUACAGUGUAUAGUACUUAGGGACCAUAAAACCAAAUACAAAACAAAAACUUUCAACAGGAAAUAAAAAUAUAUUAAAGCAAUCACAGCACACAUUGUGAACUUAUGUUUGACAAUAAACUGUUAUGCAUCCUGGCCUUUAGAUUGCAGUAUAACAAACAAUACAUAUUUUGAAGGACCCCAGCUUUAUUUUUCAAAAAAGAUGUGGGUAUAUUUCAAUUUGGGCACACCCUUUAACACUGUGUCUAGUCUGUAAUCUAAAGCCCUGACACCUAUUAACAUUUUGUUCCUGGCAUAGUAAUGAAGAGUCUGCGUCACCACAUCACAAGGAAAAUGAGGCGCCUGAGACAGAUCUAUCUAACAGCAGUGAGGAAUGUACCCCAACAGAAUGUGGAAGAGACAAAGAAGAUAGCCAAGCACAGGGUGCAUGUGGAGAGGGGCAUUGCCAAAUGCCUGGAGAUCCUCCUCUGUGACUUAAAACCUUCCUGAAACCAGAAAAAUCCAUCUGAAUAUUUUGUUCUAUCUAUUUUGUUUAUUAUAUUCAGUGACCUGUUAUCUGCUUAGAAAACUAUAUUUAUGAAAAUACAUAAAUAUUUUUGUCAUAUUAUUCUAUUUAUUGGCUAUGGUGCUCAGAUAAAUAAUUGUUAGAUAGCCACAAGGAUAUUUGUACAUCAUAAUGGUGUAGGAAAGAUACCUGCAGUCCAGACUUGGGAUCAAAUGCAAAUGCAUUUUGCAUUUAAUUGUAUUUAAAUGCACAACUGUGAACUAUUUGCUUUUCACUUGGUAGCUGUCUAUUCUGAAAUACAGGUAUUUGCAUUUGUAUUUAAAAUCAUGGGAAAGCUUCAAAACCAUUUCAAAUGCAUUUAAAUACUGUUCAAUAAAUUGUGUGUAACCCCUAUUCAUCAAGAUGGGACCUGCAAAUCACACUCUACAAUUACCAUGCAUUCAGCUCAAUCAAACUCACCUGUUCAUGAUCUUCUCAAUCUUUGAAGUAUGAAGGAAUGACACAGUUUGACAAACAAGAGGAAACACAAGGAAAUCUACAAUGAGUAUACUUCAAAAUUGCCAGGAAAGGGUAAGCAGACCAGCAGGAGCAAGUACAAGUCCACAGACCAUCUCCAAACUGACAUCACUGAUGCCCUAAUGACCUUCACUGCAGGAGACUUGAUCCUACUCUCUGCGGUUGACAGCACAUACUUCCAGUCAUUCUUGAACUAGCUUGAUCCAUCUUAUGAGGUUCCCAGCAGAAAACAUCUUGUCUCAACAUUGAUUCAUGAGAAGUGUAUGCAGCUCAAAGAAGGUCUCACCCUUCAUAUGCAGCAAUCCCAGAAUGUCUGUGUGACCCUUGACAUCUGGUCUAGCAGGCAGAUGUGCAGCUAUAUUGGGAUUACUGCUCAUUUCAUUCAGGACUGGACAAUGAAGUCUGUCAUGCUUGCUUGCUUACAAGUGCUUUUUGUGGUUCUCAAACAACUGAGAGUAUAGCUGAACUAGCUGGCUUUAAUCUCACAAGUAAAGUCACCAACAUAACCACAGAUAAUGCUGCCAAUGGGGCUCCCGAGUGGCGCAUCCAGUAAAAGCACUCGCUAGAGUGCAGGAUGCGCUCUAUAGCCUGGACGUCGCCAAUUCGAGUCCAGACUAUUCCACAGCUGACCGUGGACGGAAGCUCCCAGGGGGCGGCGCUCAAUUGGCCGAGCGUCGUCCAGGGGGAGGGAGGGUUAGGUCGGCCAGGGUGUUCUCGGCUCACCGCGCAUCAGCGACCCCUGUAGUCUGGACGGGCGCCUGCGGGCUUGCCUGUAAUCUGCCUAGAGCUGCGUUGUCCUCCGACGCUGUAGCUCUGAGGCAGCUGCACGGUGAGUCUGCAGAGUGUAAAGAAGGCUGACGGCACACGCUUCGGAGGACAGCGUGUGUUCAUCUUCGCCCCUCCCGAGUCAGCGCAGGGGUGGUAGCGGUGAGCUGAGCCUAAAAAUAAUUGGGCAUUUCAAAUUGGGGAGAAAAUAAUAAAAACUAAUUGGCAACGACUAAAUUUAAAAAAAAAAAAAAAAAAAAAAAAAA